rnacentral:rRNA from 1 species
UACAGAGGGUGCGAGCGUUGUCCGGAAUCACUGGGCGUAAAGGGCGCGUAGGUGGCCCGACAAGUCUGUGGUGAAAGCUCGAUGCUCAACAUCGAGUCGGCCAUAGAUACUGUUGGGCUGGAGCACUGUAGAGGCAGAUGGAAUUCCGGGUGUAGCGGUGGAAUGCGCAGAUAUCAGGAGGAACACCGGUGGCGAAGGCGGGUCUCUGGGCCAACACUGACGCUCAUGCACGAAAGCGUGGGGAGCAAACAGG